rnacentral:lncRNA from 1 species
AUCAAUCUCAACCAUUUUCAGGAUGAGGAAGAUGGUGAUACAUAUGAAGCUCCACCAUGUGAACGUCCCACCAUUAAAGUCCAACCGUGCCAAGUAGAGGAGAAUGUUUACCUGGGUUAUCCGGAUCGAAACCCGAACCCUGUUACUCCCAAAAGGCAGGCAGCACCGCCGCCACGACCGGCCAAGAUCACCCCGAUAGGGAAAAGCAUGAAGCCAGAGCCACCUCACGACCCGGAGCGGUUUUACAUCGACCCCAAUGAUAGCAAACCUCCUGAGGUAAUACGUAAAGAUAAACCUGGUAAAAAAGCCCCUCCUAAGAGACCCCCGAUGAGACCUCCACCGGCCCCUCAGCAAGACGAAGAUGUUUACUUGGACCCAAAUGAAGGGCAGGAUGAUGAUGACACCUAUCUAGAACCUGUAGCAGAACCGCCUGCACCCCGAAGCCCGGCCCGCAUGCCAUUGCCUCCUAAAACUGUAGGACGAGACCCGCCACCACCAAUACUGAAGCCUCCUGUUCCCAGAGCCAAAUCUAGUUCGGUCCUGAUCGGUGACACUGUGAACAAAGUUCUGCCGCCAGAAGUAAAACGUGCCACGUUUUCUGGCCAGCUGCCACCCGCACUAAACAGCAAACCAGUUCCUCCCAUCAUCCUCCCCAAAGAACCCAAAGCCAGGUGAGUCUGUGAAGCCUUUACCUCUUUACAUGUUCAGAAACA